GCUAGACUAGGAGGCGUCUCUCUGAAUCUGCGAACGGCUCCGCACACCAGUUGUAAAACCCUGCACGUCUUGCCAUCGCCGGGUAGUUUAUUCUGCUGGGCUUUGGUGCCCCCUUGGCUUCGGCUGGGGGGGGUUUAAUUGGAUAUCCCUGGUAAUUCUGGGGCUAAUACAUGACCUUAACACAGAACUCCCCCUCUAUCUAACAAGCAGCAAUGCCAUGUGGUCCGAGGGGGGGCGAUGUGCGAAUACAAAUGCCUGGAUUUAUUCCUCGCGAGUUGAGCGCACGUCUAAACCUGCGGGCACUUCGAGUGCCACUGGGCUUCGUAUUGACGGGAAACGCGUGCCGGUUACACUUAUGGGAUCCGUCCCAAUAGAGGACCCGGACCCCCGGGCUAUCAAGCCGGACCUGGGUUCGCCCUUGUUCGGUGGCUGCGGGGGAACGCGCGAACACUCCGAUUGCGCUGCUCGGGCGGGUGUGUGCCAUAGGCUUCUGACCUAUCAACUAGAAUGCUGUGUAAUGGACUGCAGUGGUGACAACGGGUACAGAGGAUUAGGGUUCGAUCCUGGAGAGUGGGCCUGAGAGAUUGCUCCUACUUCUAAGGAAGGCAGCAGGCGCGCAAAGUUCCCAUUGGGUACCCGACAGGGCCCGAGGGCGUUAGGGGAAAUAUGAAUGGCUGUCUUAAUAGCGGCCAAUUCAAAUGGGUCUGUCUUAAACAGGCUCUCGAGUAACAAUUGGAGGACAAGUCUGGUGCCAGCACCCGCGGUAAUUCCAGCUCCAAUAGCAUACGUUAAAGUUGUUGCGGUUAAAACGCUCGUAGUCGCGAUAGAGCCCUUGGAGUAGGCUGGAGAGAGGCACGGCUCCGUGGUCAGUAUGUAGAGUGGCGUCUUCGGAAAUGCCUGACUGCUGGCGCGUUCUUGCACGGCCAGGAUCUUGUCCUGUGAUGGGGGUUCACUUAAGUGUCCAGGCUCGCAUAACGGUCGUUCCCUUCACAGGGGCGCCGAAUUGUCCGAGACCAGGGUAAAACCUGCGGCUCGGGGCUUGGUACGCUCCUUUGCGGUGAUUAAACCAGCGUGAUUAAGGCAGGGCAACUUGCUUCUCGCAUGGCGCAGCAUCGCAUGAGCAAAGCUGUUCAGGUGUGACGAUGUCUUCCGGCUUCCGCAUAUGCCCUUCGGGGUACAUUGCUGGGUUAUAGGGGUGCGUCUUUUGUUCCCCGCCUUCCAGGCUCGGGGAGCCCCUGCUCGGCGCACUUAGAGGGUUGUGAUCCAGGGUGACCGAAUUGCAGGGCGAGUGGUGAAAUACGUUGACCCUUGCAAGUCGACCAAAGGCGAAAGCAGUUACCCGGGGCCUUCCCAUUGAUCAAGGGCGAAAGUUAAGGGCGCGAAGACGAUCAGAUACCGUCGUAGUCUUAACUAUAAAUGUUACUGGCCAGGUAUAGGGCAAUGUCCAUAUCGACUACCUCUGCACCACAAUGGUGAAAAUAUUGAGCUUUUGAGUUCCGGGGGGAGU
rnacentral:rRNA from 1 species